rnacentral:rRNA from 1 species
CCAGCAGCCGCGGUAAUUCCAGCUCCAAUAGCGUAUAUUAAAGUUGUUGCAGUUAAAAAGCUCGUAGUUGGAUUUGUGGCUGUCACGGGCGGCCUAUCACUUAGUGUUAGUGCUUGCCUGUGUCGCCAUCCUUGGGUGGAGCCCGUGUGGCAUUAGGUUGUCGUGCGGGGGAUGCCCAUCGUUUACUGUGAGAAAAUUAGAGUGUUCAAAGCAGGCUUAUGCCGUUGAAUAUGUUAGCAUGGAAUAAUAAGAUAGGACCUCGGUACUAUUUUGUUGGUUUGCGCACCGAGGUAAUGAUUAGUAGGGACAGUUGGGGGUAUUCGUAUUCCAUUGUCAGAGGUGAAAUUCUUGGAUUUCUGGAAGACGAACUACUGCGAAAGCAUUUACCAAGGAUGUUUUCA